GACGAACGCUGGCGGCGUGCUUAACACAUGCAAGUCGAACGGAAAGGCCCUGCUUUUGUGGGGUGCUCGAGUGGCGAACGGGUGAGUAACACGUGAGUAACCUGCCCUUGACUUUGGGAUAACUUCAGGAAACUGGGGCUAAUACCGGAUAGGAGCUCCUGCUGCAUGGUGGGGGUUGGAAAGUUUCGGCGGUUGGGGAUGGACUCGCGGCUUAUCAGCUUGUUGGUGGGGUAGUGGCUUACCAAGGCUUUGACGGGUAGCCGGCCUGAGAGGGUGACCGGGCACAAUGGGACUGAGGUACGGCCCAGACGCCUACGGGAGGCAGCAGGGGGGAAUAUGGCACAAUGGGCGGAAGCCUGAUGCAGCAACGCCGCGUGCGGGAUGACGGCCUUCGGGUUGUAAACCGCUUUCGCCUGUGACGAAGCGUGAGUGACGGUAAUGGGUAAAGAAGCACCGGCUAACUACGUG
rnacentral:rRNA from 1 species